rnacentral:rRNA from 1 species
CCUACGGGUGGCAGCAGUGGGGAAUAUUGCGCAAUGGGCGAAAGCCUGACGCAGCGACGCCGCGUGAGGGAUGAAGGUCUUCGGAUCGUAAACCUCUGUCAGCAGGGAAGAACGGUCACUGUGCUAAUCAGCAGUGAAUUGACGGUACCUGCAAAGGAAGCACCGGCUAACUCCGUGCCAGCAGCCGCGGUAAUACGGAGGGUGCGAGCGUUAAUCGGAAUUACUGGGCGUAAAGCGCUCGUAGGCGGUAUGUCAAGUCAAGGGUGAAAUCCCCGCGCGCAACGUGGGAACUGCCUUUGAAACUGGGAAACUGGAGUGUGUGAGAGGUUAGUGGAAUUCCAGGUGUAGGGGUGAAAUGCGUAGAUAUCUGGAGGAACAUCAGUGGCGAAGGCGACGAUCUGGCACAUAACUGACGCUGAGGAGCGAAAGCGUGGGUAGCAAACAGGAUUAGAUACCCGGGUAGUC